CCCCUCCCUUCUAAGAAGGCUGAUUUCUGGCAGAGGCGGGGGCGCCGCUUCGGGAGAGCGGGCAGUUCUAGGAGGCCGACCUGGAGAGCCUCCCGGUUCCCCUUCCCCUUUUCCCGGACCCCGCGGGGACACCCCCUCGCCGCCACCCGGGCCUCCCCGAGGGCCCAACUGCGGGUCAGGCGGCCCGGGCCAGCCGAAAGGGAAGUGGGGCUACCCCACAGCCAGGCAGCGGGGCUGGGGUCAGACCCGGGAGCCGGAGGUUGGAGACGUGCGACAGUCACCUGCGGGCAGAUUCCAGAGGGGAGACCCAGGGCUGCAGGGGACGCCCCUUCGUGGCAGCUACCCAGCCUCGGCCCACUGCCAGUGUUACGUGGCUGCAUGACCAUACACUUCUGGGUAGAGCCCAGUGGAAGACAAAGAAGACUCAAGGAAUAGCCCUUGAGGGCUCAGGAGCUAUACAGAUGGGAUAGAGGGUGUGAGUGCUGGGAAGCCCCAUCCAUGGCUCGCUGGAGAUUAGAGGCCUGUUAAUCUGAAGACAAAGGAAUGAAGACGAAAACGUUUCUGAAAAUGUGGGUGGAGACACCUGGGCCUUUACAGGAUCCUGAACCAACUUUGAAGGCAGAGAAGUGGGCUAGAAGAAGUGGGGUUGGAGCCUCCACCAAGGACAAGAAGGCCUUAGCCCCCUGCUUCCAGCUCAAGCUGAAGUGGCUGUGAGCUGAGCUAAGAAGACCCCACUUCGCCAGGAGGAGUGCCUCACGCCUGUAAUCCCAGCACUUUGAAAGGCCGAGGCAGGUGGAUCACGUGAGGUCAGGAGUUUAAGACCAGCCUGGCCAACAUGAUGGAGUCUAGCUCUGUCGCCCAGGCUGGAGUACAGUGGCGUGAUCUCGGCUCACUCCAACCUCCGCCUCCCGGGUUCAAGCGAUUCUCCUGCCUCAGCCUCCUGGGUAGCUGGGACUACAGGCAUGUGCCACCCCGCCUGGCUAAUUUUUUUGUAUUUUUAGUAGAGAUGGGGUUUCACCGUGUUAGCCAGGAUGGUCUCGAUCUACUGACCUCAUGAUCCAACCACCUCGGCCUCCCAAAGUACUGGGAUUACAGGUGUAAGCCACUACACCCAGCCCCCAUCUUGCUUCUAGCCUUUAAGCAGUCCUUGUGGAUUCCUGGGUGUAGGCCGAACUAACUUUGGGAAGGAAUUCAGUUCAUGGUUUGACUCUGAAACAAAAUUGACAACAGCCCUUUCCCGAAAAGACCCCCUUCUUGCCUGGGGUCCAGUCGGCCUUUGCAGGACUAACAAAUUAGCUAUAAGAUUAGAAAUAAAAGUUUAGGGUCAUGCAGCCUCUGGCUCCAAGAAUCUGAACCUCCCCAAAUUGCUCCUGGGGAUAACAUCACUAUUGGAAAACCGCAGAUCAGUGCGUGAGAUAUUUUGCAGACUCUGCAUUCAUGGAUCAGCUGACACCACCCAGACCGGUUAUCUGGCUCAACCAGUUCUGCCAUCCCACCCAGGAAUAGAAGAUAGCAAGAAAAAUUCACUUCAACCUUCUACGAUUCCAUCUCCAACCUGACCAAUCAGCACUCCCCACUUCCCAAGCUCCUUUACUAGCCAAAUUCUCUUUAAAAACUCUGAUCCCCGAAUGCUUGGGGAGACUGAUUUGAGUAAUAAUAAAACUCUGGUCUCCCGCACAGUGGGCUCUGCGUGAAUCACUCUUUCUCCAUUGCAAUGCCUCUGUCUUGAUAAAUCAGUUCUGUCUGGGCAGCAGGCAAGGUGAACCCAUUGGGCA
rnacentral:lncRNA from 10 species